GGACAUUUGAGCUCAGUGGCAGGCUUCAGAAGACCAAAAUGCCUGUGGAAAUUCAGACAGUGGUGAAAACCCCGAAAUAAAUCAUUGCAUUUGUCUUAGAGCAGCAUUGCUACUGCUAUCUAAGAUCCAUUAUUUAAUUAUAUGGCAAUAGGCAUCCUAUAAUGAACUAAUCACUGUUCCUUUCAUAGAUGAAAGAGAAAGAGCCUUCUGAACUGUUGAGAACCAAAACUUCCCAUCCCAGUGGUCCCCAGUCAGCCUGAGCCUUCCUCCAUCUGAGACAUGGGUUCAGAACAGGUUGCUAUUGGCAUGACUGGAAAAUUCAAGUGGGGUGCUGUGAAACAGCAUUUCUCCUUGUUCCUCUGUUGCACAUGUGCUCAACCAAGGUGAGAGAGCUUUCCCUGGGCAGAUAAGGCCACUGCUGGUUCCCCCCAGUUCUCAGCCUCUGGAGCUGCCCCAGUGUAAGUACUGACAUAAGUAAGAACCCUUCUUCUGAACUGGUGAACAAUUCAGGUGUGUUUAGGAAUACUUCUCAGAUGGCAUAGAUUUGAUUUUACCAGAAGAACCAACAAGCAGCCUGAAAGCCACUACAUGUGGUUUUUACAGUAUAUUAGCCAUCUCCAAAGUGCUUCAGCCUAAGCCUCCCAUUCCUAACCCUUUUAGCUGCUGAAGGAGAGUUAGGAGCAGCUGGUGCCAUGGAUGCUUAAAAUAAUCAAUAAUUGCUUCAGGGUAGAUAGCUUCUUCCACCAAACACAUCAGUAUGAUUUACAGUGGAAAAAAAACACCCAACCAACACAUAUUCUGGGUCUCUCUUUUUUUUUUAAGGUAGCUAAUAAAUAGUGUUGGACUUAUUGCUGUUUCUUGGCAAGCCUGAGAGGACAGAGGAAGCCCAUGUUUCUCUAACCAAACAGCCCCAACCACAAGCAUCACUGAGUUUGUUCUUGGGUUCUAGCCCAAAUCUCAGCUUUCCCACUCCACUGACAGUACCAUCUUCCAUCUCAAAGCUGAGGGGAGAGCAUGGUGUCGCCCAGUGUAGUGGUUUGGUUUAGGCCUUUUCCUGACAACCAGGUCGAAACUAAGGAAGUACCCCUAUCCCAAUAUUCUAAUCUAUUCUUUACGUAAGUAGAAAUAUAAAUAGAAGGGGGAAGGAAGUCGGAAAGUUAGAUCUCUUCCGGCGGAGUUGGAGAAAGCAAAGCAGCCUCCCUGCGGUUGGGUUUCUCAUGUGGGAUUGUGAGGCCUGUGAGUUUUUGAGAGGCUGUUGCUUCUUCCUGAUUCGAGAGGAGAGAUCUGGUGGUGUAGACUUUGUGUUCUUAAGGAAAGUAUUAAGAUUUUGUUGGUUAGUUCUUUAUUGGCUGCGUAUAUCUGUUUUUCAUUUUUUUCUGGGGUGUUGUGGUUCUCUUUCUUAUAUGUAUAUAGUUUUUUGUAAUUGUAUAUAAGUGUAAAUGUAUAUAUAUAUAUACUGCUUUGAUUCUGUUAUUUCAGUCUUUUGUUUGUUUUUUUUCCUCCUCUUCCCUUUCCUUCCCCUGUGUUCAUAGAAGGGGGGCAGUGGGGGGGGAAGUCUCUUACUGUGGUCUUGGGCUCUUGGCAGGGAGCCAAGUCUAAACCACCACACUCAGUUUUUAUGGUUUUUUGUGGUUUUCCUCACCAGAACACUUGUAAAGCUCGGACAAGUGGUAUUCCCUGAGCUGUUGACAGACAUCUCCACCUGCCCUUCCCAGGUGUGCCUAAGGGAUCUGACACACAGCUGGAUGAGAGUAUCAGUUCAUGGGCUGCUGUCCUGAGAAGACUAGUGGGGUGGUGUCUGUCUUGAACAGCAACUGUCCUUACAGCUGGGGGGCUCUUUCUUUGGUUUUGUGGGUUGUUUUUGUGAGGUACUUAAAGGCACAUUCUGUUUUCUCUCUUAAGAAAAGCCUCUUUUAGGUGGUGGUUUUGUAAAGAGAAGAAGAGCUUUUGAGAAGGUUUGGCUUUGGCACUUCCUGGAAGAGAAAUCACUGCUUUGCAAUGACCAGGUAUGGUGAUGUGUGAGCUCCCAGCUGACACCACUGUAAGGAGGAGAGACCAAAGGAUGCCAAGUAACUAUCCUAACCAAUGUUACUGCAGUUCACUUCCUGGCCUCCAAGAAAGAUGAGAAUGUUUCUUUUCCCUUCCCAGGGAGCAAAAUCUGAAGUAACAGUCUCUUGAAAUAGUGCUGGUAGUUUGUUAUUCAUGGCUGCUCUUGUUACUUCUGAGAAUAUAGGGAAAACUUGUGACCCUCACUGAAUGAAUGCCUGCAAGAGGGCUGCUUGGCUGAUGGGCUCUGGUCUGGAUCUCACCCAGCUUCAGGACCAAACAAGCAGAUGAGUGUGGUAUGGUUAGGAGCUGCUUUCAGACAAGGAAGCUGGUUCCCAGUGAUAACAUUAAGAUGAGUGCAUAGACAAUCAAAUAAGGUGUUUUAGCCCCUUUUAAUUUUAUUGAAAGAGUUGUUAAAGGUUAUUUUGGAAGUACAUUGUUUUAAAUCCGUUUUUUUCCCCUUCCUUGCAGUGUACAAUGAGGGCUUGAGAGUUCUAGGAUGCCUUAAAGGUUUCUUAGUUGCUUUUUUUUUCUCCCCAUAAAAUUGAAGAUAUCAAAAACAUGCGGUCUGUGUUUUGCAGUCAGUUGUCUUGAGUUAAUGACUGUCCUGGUUUCAUUUGUGAUAGAGUUAAUUUCUUCUCAGUACUGUGCUGUGUUUUGGAUUCAGCAUGAGAACAAUGUUGAUAACAAACUGAUGUUAUUUGCUGAGUCCUCUUCAUCUCAAGUCAAGGCCUCUUUCUUUAUAUCUCAUGCUGUGGGAGGUACAGUGAGGAGGUACACAAAAGAAAAACUGGGAGACAGCAUAGCGGGGACAGGUGACCAGAACUCCAGAAUACCACAGGGGUAUUUCAUACCACAGAACAUUAUGCCCUGUAUAUAAACUGGGGGAGCUACCCAGAAUGGGGGCCUGUCUGGGUUCGGGGUCUGGCACAGGUCAGCGGGUGGUGAGCAAUUGUAUUGGGUAUCACUUGUUUGUUUUGUGGUUUUUUGUUUGGUUGGUUGGUUUUUUAAUAAUCACUGCUAUUAUAUUUUACUUUUUUUCAGUUAUUAAACUUUUCAAUCUACAAGUUUUACUUUUGAUUGUCCUUUCCAUUCCACGGCUGGGGAUGGGGAGGUGGUGAAUGAAUGGCUGCAAGGUGUUUAGUUGCCAGCUGGGCUUAAACCACGACAAUGACAUUAGGUCAUUCUUAUUGUAAGGGCCCACAUUUUGGGUGGAAGUGCUAGGUGUAAUAAAAACUCUAAGAAUUUUUUCUUCUCCUGGAAUUAGUUUUACUUUUUGGUUAAAUUAACUGUUCAGUGAGAGUUAGCUGAUGUUCAGCUCUCAGCACUCUGACUAAAAGGAGUGUAAUACUUCCAUUAUCUUUCCUGUCACCAUCUCGCUUGGGUGUUGGUAAGAGCUGAGCUUUGAAUGAAAAGAAAAAAGAGUUCCUAAUUAAGCAUAAAAAUAAAUUAGCACAGAAGCUAUUACCUUCUUAGCAAUUAGCACAGGAGAGAGCAAAUUGUAGCAAAUUCUGGUAUUCUGAUUUUUUUUCCCCUAAACAUUCUCUUGGCUGCCUGAGUUUUACCCACCAGCACAGUCCCAACAGCCGGGCAGAUACCUCACACAGUGAGGAGCUAGGAAAUGAUUCACAGCAUUCACUUUGCCAGGGAAUUUUCUGAAUAACAAAAUCCGAGUGGGAACAGCACUAAGCAACCAAACUCUCAAAGCCUUAAAUUAAAAACUAUCAGAGGCUAUUUAGGACUAGGACAGAAAUAGGAGGAAGUAAAAGGAAAAUUCUGCAGAAAAGGCGCUUGGUGCGUGAAGCACCUGAGACAAGGAAGUUACUCUUUUACCACCAUAUGAAGUACUGAACAAAUCUUGAGAGUGAAUUUCAUGCCUCUUACCAGUUGCCAGUGAAAGUGUCCCCUGAAUUGCCUGCUGGUAACUGUCCUGCAGAACUGGCACCAGCAAGCUCUUCCCACACUGAUGUGCCAAUAGGUCUGGAAAAGGUGGAUUAUUUAUUUCCAAGAGAACAUCAUAAAUCACCAGGUGUCACUGAGAAAGGGAUGGAGAAUACACAAUUCCAGUUUUGGAAUUGGAUUCUUUCUGUCCAACACUGCAAGAGAUCUUUCAAAGCAUGCAAAGUUUUCUAUGAAUUGAGAAAUGAAGACAAUGGGGUCACAGAAAUUCCAGGGCAUCAGAAAUCCAGUGCCAGAGCAGUAGCCCCACAAGAAAUAAAUCCUGUGCUUCUGACUCUUCAAGACAUGGCUCUGAAGCAUCUAGUGCUGGGGUGCUUUAACUCACAUGGAAAGAGAAGCAUGGACUACCUCUGUCAGGGUCCCACAUCAACCCAGCCUCCUGAGCUACACUCACUCAUGAAUUCUCCAGUCACCAGAGGAGAGACCUCCUUGCAUCAUACGUAAAUACAGUAUGUGCGGUCCAGCCAAGGGAGCCCCAUUAGAAAUAAGCCACCAUCCUUCUGUGGAAUCUGGCUCAAGGUGACCAGGUGUUGUACUUGGCUCCAAAUAUUUAGACUCUUUUAACAAACAGUACUAUUUGGACUCAGAUUUGACUUAAAACCAUAUAAUUUUUGCAUCAGUUUUUCCAGUUGAAAUUAUACAUGUUCUAUGAAAAUGCUUUCUUCUGUAAAUACUGCAUUUUUCUCCCUCCUUAAGUAGCAAAGUACUAAAGUAUUUUUCAAGAAGCUGAUAUAACUACAGUGAUGAUAUAUCUCUCAUUAAGAACUGAUACUAUUAAUUUACAUGGCUUGAUUUUUCUGUGUAAUGGUGAACAUUUGUUUGGGUUUUUUUAACUCUAAGUAGCUAAAUAAAGACUUACUCCUUGGACUAAUGCAGAUAAAGAAGAAGUCUCUUAAUCUGGAAAGGAAUUACUAGAAUGUAGAAGCAAGAAAUUACCUUUGUAUAAUUUCUCAAAAAGCUACAUAGGUACAGAUUAUCUAUAAAUACUUGGAAGUUUUGGUAUUAACAACCAUUCUGGUGCUGCAUGAAGACAAGAAUUUUUGCCACUGUUUUUCUUCCUCUUCUGUAACAAAUCUGUGAAGUAAUUUUUCAGAAUGGUUGGUAUUACUGCAACUCAAAGCUUAAAGAUUCUAUAAUGAAACUUGAAUUUCUCCAUUUGUGCUAAUACACUUACAGUAGUGAAAACCACAACCAGCAAUUUUUGCUUUAUUUUGUACUACAAUUAAGUUGGAUGAAAAUGUUUUCCAAUGUAAGACCUUCCAAGUGCCAGUAUGUACAAGUAACUAAACUGAAUAUGAAUCAAUAAAUUGAGCUUCCCAGGAAACAGUAUAAUAAGUGUAUUCAGAAGUCUGUUCAUAUUCUUGGGUUUUGAAGAAAAUUGGUUUUCAGUUUCGUUUUAUGGAAGUCUUCAUAUCUCACACUCUCAGUAACUGCUCAGAGAACUAAAGACACCACAGAUUAAUGUAGCAGAGACAAGACCCUCAGCUGUAUGACAGAACACAAUUCUUGCAAUGGAAGAGGUGUGAACACUUUAAAGAAUCACAGAUGGUCAGUGAAGAAGAAAAAACCUCUCAUAGAUGGAUCACUAACUAUUUUAAGCUAGAAAUAUUGACUGAAAGCUUGGAGUUUCAACAAAAUGAGAAACUUAAUCAUUCACGAUGGAGAAAGAAAUAUGUAAACAUCAGAAAGUUGUGCAAGAUAAAACACCCAAAUUUUAUAUACGUAAAAAUUGGUUCCCUCGCUCUUUAGAACAUGAAAGGGACAGGCAAAAUAUUUUUCCUGUCACAACUGAAAAUUGCAAGACAAAUGUAUCCAGAUAUGUAAACUGCUUUCCUAAUCCGUGAGAACUGACUGGCCAAUUCUUUGUUUGUUUACACAUGGAUGAAGUCAAAGUGCCAGCAACUUACCCACAACUGGUGGAAGAAAUACCCUACAGAAGUUAUUCCAAGACCAUGGAUUAGUGGCCACUGCUAAGUAAGCAAGCUUUUGGAGGAUAUUUAUCACACUGCAACCAUGCAGAAGAGAUUGGUUUUAAGGCUUGAACACCCUAUUUACUAGCAGGGACAGGGGUGAAUAUGUAACUUCAUUGCAGAAAAAGGAAUCUAGAGAACAAGUUUGUUUCUUACUUCCAGAACUGGCUGCUGGUUUUGUAUAUCUUGCACAGAACACAACAUGCCUUAAAACAGAGCAACUGAAAUGGUAAAUGUGUGAAAAGUAAAGUGAGUGAUGAGACUUCACAAAAAGGAAAAAAGGAAACUGGUCAGCCUGCUUUGCAAGAACAUGACUAUUCCAAUAAGCAAUUCAUGUUCACAAGAGGAAUCUUCCUGAAUUUGAUACAGUUCUUUUUUUUUUUUUCAGACUCAAUCAAUAAAUUGAUGUUUAAUCCAUUUUUAUAACUGAAAAUUCAGAGUUUAACCCCAUUCACACCAAGAUAGCUUCAUUUCCAGCUACCAAUUUCAGAGUUCCAAGUACAGCAGAUAAAGAACUGAAAAAAAAGUUCAUCUAUGACCAGUGAAGAAAGUUUUCCAACCUUCACUAACCUCUUAAAAUAAACUUAAAAAAGAAACCAAAAGUUUUAGCAAAAUAAGGUGUCCUGUUUCUUUGCCUUAUUCUUCAGGCAAUAAGCCAGGGGAUAAAAGUGCUAUUUACAACAGACAUGCAAACUUACAAAAGAAAUUAGUAAAGACACAUUUUGUUGAAGGCACCUAAAAUCCAGAACAAAGGUUGUAAGAUUUUUAAAUGGUAUAUUUCUCCACUUAACUGGUAAUAAAACUGGCUACUAAUUGUUAGGCCCAAGAAUUAUAUGAGAGGGACCAUUAACAUGUUGUUCUGUUUUUGAAGUAUCUGUCUGCAUUAACAUAGGGCAUUGUAGUGCAGAUUACAUUGAAAUGCUGACUACUCUGCUGUAAUAUUGCUAGGAGGAAAACAUUCAGUCCUACAGCAAAGAACUGAUAUUAGUUAACUUAGAAAAGAUAAGUAUUGCUCUGUUUCUGAUAUUUUAGGUGGUCUGGUGGAUAACUGAAGAUAUAUAUUAAUUUCCCAUGACAAUUUGGCAUUCUUCUUUCCACAGAUAAAUGGUUUACACUAGGAGUUGUUAACCUAAAACAAAGCAGUUACGUAUACAAACAAUACAACAGCUGUGACAUUAAUGCCAACUUCUUCCUGCUAAGUCUUUCAGGAUAUGUAACAAAUUUAAGUUUUAGAUUUAGAGAAAAAUCAAAUCACUUGUAGGUCAGAUUAGUUUUCUUUGCAGCAGUCAGCCCUGUCUAAGAGAAGCCAGUACUUCUGAGCUGCUAAAAAAUACGUUUAGAUCAAUGCAUCAAGAUCAACGAAGUCAGCAUCUUCUACAGCCUUGCCAUAUUAGAUUUUCUGCUUUACAUUUUCAUAACUAAUACUUUUUAAACAAAGUGCCAAAUGAAGAGAGAAAUAGGGAAACAAAGAUAGUCACAAUCAGAGCAAAAGAAGUACGUUUGUUUGCAUAUGCUAAUCAGUUUCCUCUGUGUGUUUUAGUUUUCCCCUUCGUAGGUGCAGACUGAGAGUGGAUAGGAAUAACGAACAACUAACCCAACAGCUAUGCUUCUUCUACUAUCUCUGCUUCCUUUUUGUUCUCUCAUCCAAACAAAGAAGUUUCUCCUACUGGACUUCUCCUCCUUACCAGAUCUGUCUCCUUUCUGCUCCCAUUCCCCCCACUGCCCCAUGGCCCCUUCCCCCACUGCCUUGCCUGUCUCCUGCCUGUUCCCACUGAUUUUCCAUUCUCCCUCCCGUCAGUCCUGGCUCUUUGUUCCCACAGGGCUCUGCAGAUGUGCAGCAGGAGUUCAACUGUCUCUUUUUAAUUUUUUUUUCCACUUUU